rnacentral:rRNA from 1 species
GACGAACGCUGGCGGCGUGCUUAACACAUGCAAGUCGAACGGAAAGGCCCUGCUUUUGUGGGGUGCUCGAGUGGCGAACGGGUGAGUAACACGUGAGUAACCUGCCCUUGACUUUGGGAUAACUUCAGGAAACUGGGGCUACUACCGGAUAGGAGCUCCUGCUGCAUGGUGGGCGUUGGAAAGUUUCGGCGGUCGGGGAUGGACUCGCGGCUUAUCAGCUUGUUGGUGGGGUAGUGGCUUACCAAGGCUUUGACGGGUAGCCGGCCUGAGAGGGUGACCGGCCACAUUGGGACUGAGAUACGGCCCAGACUCCUACGGGAGGCAGCAGUGGGGAAUAUUGCACAAUGGGCGGAAGCCUGAUGCAGCAACGCCGCGUGCGGGAUGACGGCCUUCGGGUUGUAAACCGCUUUCGCCUGUGACGAAGCGUGAGUGACGGUAAUGGGUAAAGAAGCACCGGCUAACUACGUG